GAGGAAUAUUGGUCAAUGGGCGAGAGCCUGAACCAGCCAAGUAGCGUGCAGGAUGACGGCCCUAUGGGUUGUAAACUGCUUUUGUAUGGGGAUAAAGUUAGGGACGUGUCCCUAUUUGCAGGUACCAUACGAAUAAGGACCGGCUAAUUCCGUGCCAGCAGCCGCGGUAAUACGGAAGGUCCAGGCGUUAUCCGGAUUUAUUGGGUUUAAAGGGAGCGUAGGCGGAUUGUUAAGUCAGCGGUUAAAGGGUGUGGCUCAACCAUGCAUUGCCGUUGAAACUGGCGAUCUUGAGUGCAGACAGGGAUGCCGGAAUUCGUGGUGUAGCGGUGAAAUGCUUAGAUAUCACGAAGAACUCCGAUCGCGAAGGCAGGUGUCCGGGCUGCAACUGACGCUGAGGCUCGAAAGUGUGGGUAUCAAACAGGAUUAGAUACCCUGGUAGUCCACACAGUAAACGAUGUAUACUCGCGGUUUGCGAUAGACAGUAAGCCGCCAAGCGAAAGCAUUAAGUAUACCACCUGGGGAGUACGCCGGCAACGGUG
rnacentral:rRNA from 1 species